GAGUAAUAGAAUAGGUGACUCAAGGGUGGUCGGCCAUUUCCCGUGAAGGCAACCUAAGUGCGCCACGUCCUGUGGCAACGGUUGCAUGACCUACAUCCUGUAGGCCCGGAGGUGGUCGCAUGUCAGUAUCUGAAGCACUAAUGCUUAUGUUAACAUUUGGAGUAUUAAGGAAGGCAGUCUAAGAACGCGACAUCCUGUCGCAACGACUGCAUGACCCGCAUCCUGCGGGCCUCAAUACUGUCAUUCCACAACAAAAAAUAAUCCAUCCUUGAGUGUCGGCUCAUAAUGGAUGGAUUAUUUUAAUCCCAAGGCCGAUCCCCCCUUGAAGGGAACCUGCUAUUACAGACCGCCUAAUGUUAGCGCAUUGGGCG
rnacentral:sRNA from 1 species